AAGGGAAGUGCAGAUCUUUAUCUUUCUGCGACACUCUUCCGACUUGAUGCCGCCCCUGAAUCCACAAGUACCGGCUUGAUUACCCCCUAAGAUAAGAGGAGGAUAUAGAAGCAGAUUUAGUUGCAGGUAGGAGCGAGUCUACCCUGCAAAGCGGCUUCUCGCUUAUCCCCAUUUGAAAAUGAGGAGAUCCGACCUACCCCCUAAGAUAGAGGAGGAUAUAGAAGUAGAUUUAGUUGCAGGUAGGAGCGAGUCUACCCUGCAAAGCGGCUUCUCUCUUAUCCCCAUUUGAAAAUGAGGAGAUCUGACGUCAAGUGCAGGAAUUGCUGUCAAAG
rnacentral:lncRNA from 1 species